rnacentral:rRNA from 1 species
UUCCGGUUGAUCCUGCCGGAGGCCACUGCUAUUGGGAUCCGACUAAGCCAUGCGAGUCGAGAGGGUUCGGCCCUCGGCAGACUGCUCAGUAACACGUGGAUAACCUAACCUUAGGUGGAAGAUAACCUCGGGAAACUGAGAAUAAUAUUCCAUAGAUCUAGGAUGCUGGAAUGCAUCUAGAUUGAAAGUUCCGACGCCUAAGGAUGGGUCUGCGGACUAUCAGGUUGUAGUCAGGGUAAAGACCUGACUAGCCUACGACGGAUAUGGGUUGUGAGAGCAAUAGCCCAGAGACGAUAUCUGAGACACGAUAUCGGGCCCUACGGGGCGCAGCAGGCGCGAAAUCUUCACAAUGUGCGAAAGCACGAUGAGGGGAUCCCAAGUGCUGGCACGUAAGUGUCAGCUGUUUCUUAGUCUAAAAAACUGAGAGAGUAAGGGCUGGGUAAGACGGGUGCCAGCCGCCGCGGUAAUACCUGCAGCUCAAGUGGUGGCCGCUAUUAUUGGGCCUAAAACGUCCGUAGCCUGUUUAGUAAAUGCUUGGGUAAAUUGUGUAGCUUAACUAUACGAAUACCGGGUAGACUGCUAAACUUGGGACCGGGAGAGGCUAGAGGUACUCCUGGGGUAGAGGUGAAAUUCUGUAAUCCUAGGGGGACCACCAGUGGCGAAGGCGUCUAGCUAGAACGGGUCUGACGGUGAGGGACGAAGCCCUGGGGCGCAAACCGGAUUAGAUACCCGGGUAGUCCAGGUGUAAACGCUGCUUGCUUGAUGUUAGUUGGGCUCCGAGCCCAACUAGUGUCGGAGAGAAGUUGUUAAGCAAGCUGCCUGGGAGGUACGUCGCAGACUGAACUUAAGGAAUUGGCGGGGGGAGCACAGCACGGGUGGAGGCGUGGCGAUUAAUGCAUCAACGCCG